rnacentral:rRNA from 1 species
UACAGAGGUCUCGAGCGUUAGGCGGAAUCACUGGGCUUAAAGCGUGUGUAGGCGGAUUGCUAAGUACCUUGUGAAAUCCCACGGCUUAACCGUGGAACUGCUUGGUAUACUGGCUGUCUUGAGCCACUUAGGGGCAACCGGAACAAACGGUGGAGCGGUGAAAUGCGUAGAUAUCGUUUGGAACGCCAAUGGUGAAAACAGGUUGCUGGGAGUGUGCUGGCGCUGAGACACGAAAGCCAGGGGAGCAAACGGG